GAGGAUAUAGCUCAAGUGGUAGAGCACAUGCUUAGCAUGCAGAAGGUCCUGGGUUCAAUCCCCAGUGCCUCCA
rnacentral:tRNA from 1 species